CUUAUGCGUUGUUGGGUAGGGGAGCGUUCUGUAAGCCUGCGAAGGUGGCCUGUGAGGGUUGCUGGAGGUAUCAGAAGUGCGAAUGCUGACAUAAGUAACGAUAAAGCGGGUGAAAAGCCCGCUCGCCGGAAGACCAAGGGUUCCUGUCCAACGUUAAUCGGGGCAGGGUGAGUCGACCCCUAAGGCGAGGCCGAAAGGCGUAGUCGAUGGGAAACGGGUUAAUAUUCCCGUACUUGGUGUUACUGCGAAGGGGGGACGGAGAAGGCUAUGUUGGCCGGGCGACGGUUGUCCCGGUUUAAGCGUGUAGGUGUGUGUUCCAGGUAAAUCCGGUUCACUUUAACACUGAGGCGUGACGACGAGGCACUACGGUGCUGAAGCAACAAAUGCCCUGCUUCCAGGAAAAGCCUCUAAGCAUCAGGUAACAUCAAAUCGUACCCCAAACCGACACAGGUGGUCAGGUAGAGAAUACCAAGGCGCUUGAGAGAACUCGGGUGAAGGAACUAGGCAAAAUGGUGCCGUAACUUCGGGAGAAGGCACGCUGACACGUAGGUGAAGUGAUUUACUCAUGGAGCUGAAGUCAGUCGAAGAUACCAGCUGGCUGCAACUGUUUAUUAAAAACACAGCACUGUGCAAACACGAAAGUGGACGUAUACGGUGUGACGCCUGCCCGGUGCCGGAAGGUUAAUUGAUGGGGUCAGCGCAAGCGAAGCUCCUGAUCGAAGCCCCGGUAAACGGCGGCCGUAACUAUAACGGUCCUAAGGUAGCGAAAUUCCUUGUCGGGUAAGUUCCGACCUGCACGAAUGGCGUAAUGAUGGCCAGGCUGUCUCCACCCGAGACUCAGUGAAAUUGAACUCGCUGUGAAGAUGCAGUGUACCCGCGGCAAGACGGAAAGACCCCGUGAACCUUUACUAUAGCUUGACACUGAACAUUGAGCCUUGAUGUGUAGGAUAGGUGGGAGGCUUUGAAGUGUGGACGCCAGUCUGCAUGGAGCCGACCUUGAAAUACCACCCUUUAAUGUUUGAUGUUCUAACGUGGACCCGUUACCCGGGUUGCGGACAGUGUCUGGUGGGUAGUUUGACUGGGGCGGUCUCCUCCUAAAGAGUAACGGAGGAGCACGAAGGUUGGCUAAUCCUGGUCGGACAUCAGGAGGUUAGUGCAAUGGCAUAAGCCAGCUUGACUGCGAGCGUGACGGCGCGAGCAGGUGCGAAAGCAGGUCAUAGUGAUCCGGUGGUUCUGAAUGGAAGGGCCAUCGCUCAACGGAUAAAAGGUACUCCGGGGAUAACAGGCUGAUACCGCCCAAGAGUUCAUAUCGACGGCGGUGUUUGGCACCUCGAUGUCGGCUCAUCACAUCCUGGGGCUGAAGUAGGUCCCAAGGGUAUGGCUGUUCGCCAUUUAAAGUGGUACGCGAGCUGGGUUUAGAACGUCGUGAGACAGUUCGGUCCCUAUCUGCCGUGGGCGCUGGAGAACUGAGGGGGGCUGCUCCUAGUACGAGAGGACCGGAGUGGACGCAUCACUGGUGUUCGGGUUGUCAUGCCAAUGGCACUGCCCGGUAGCUAAAUGCGGAAGAGAUAAGUGCUGAAAGCAUCUAAGCACGAAACUUGCCCCGAG
rnacentral:rRNA from 5 species